rnacentral:tRNA from 2 species
GCACCCGUAGCUCAGCUGGAUAGAGCAUCGGACUUCGAAUCCGAGGGUCGCAGGUUCGAAUCCUGCCGGGUGCACCA